GAUGAACGCUGGCGGCGUGCCUAAUACAUGCAAGUCGAACGAGGACACUUUUGUAUUCGUACGGAGGUGUUCCUAGUGGCGAACGGGUGAGUAACACGUUGGUGACCUGCCCCGAGGCGGGGGAUAACCACGGGAAACAGUGGCUAAUACCCCAUGAGCUCCGAGGAGUUAGAUGCCCUCGGAGGAAAGGAGCAAUCCACCUUGGGAGGGGCCUGCGGCCCAUCAGCUAGUUGGUAGGGUAACGGCCUACCAAGGCGUACGGGUAGGGGGCCUGAGAGGGUGGCCCCCCACAUUGGCACUGAGACACGGGCCAGACACCUACGGGUGGCAGCAGUAGGGAAUCUUGCACAAUGGGCGAAGGCCUGAUGCAGCAACGCCGCGUGGAGGAUGAAUGCCUUCGGGUUGUAAACUCCUUUUCGGGGGGAUGAGGAAGGACAGUACCCCCGGAAUAAGUCUCGGCUAACUACGUGCCAGCAGCCGCGGUAAAACGUAGGAGGCAAGCGUUAUCCGGAUUUACUGGGCGUAAAGCGCGUGUAGGCGGCUUGGUAAGUCGUACGUGAAAUCUCCCGGCUCAACUGGGAGACGCCGUGCGAUACUGCCAGGCUAGAGGGCAAUAGAGGGGGGUGGAAUUCCGGGUGUAGCGGUGAAAUGCGUAGAUAUCCGGAGGAACACCAGUGGCGAAGGCGGCCCCCUGGAUUGACCCUGACGCUCAGACGCGAAAGCUAGGGGAGCAAACGGGAUUAGAAACCCCGGUAGUCCUAGCUGUAAACGAUGCAGACUUGGUGUUGGUGGCUUAAACACCAUCAGUGCCGCAGCUAACGCGAUAAGUCUGCCGCCUGGGGACUACGGCCGCAAGGCUAAAACUCAAAGGAAUUGACGGGGACCCGCACAAGCAGCCGAGCGUGUGGUUUAAUUCCGAGGCUACACGA
rnacentral:rRNA from 1 species